rnacentral:rRNA from 1 species
CGGUCCAGACUCCUACGGGAGGCAGCAGUAGGGAAUCUUCCGCAAUGGGCGAAAGCCUGACGGAGCAAUGCCGCGUGAGUGAAGAAGGCCUUCGGGUCGUAAAACUUCUGUUAUAAGAGAAGGAACAAAUUGUAGAGUAACUGCUACAGUCUUGACGGUAUCUUAUCAGAAAGCCACGGCUAACUACGUGCCAGCAGCCGCGGUAA